CGAGCUGGGUUCAGAACGUCGUGAGACAGUUCGGUCCCUAUCCGUCGCGGGCGUAGGAAAUUUGAGAGGACCUGUCCUUAGUACGAGAGGACCGGGAUGGACAUACCUCUGGUGUACCAGUUGUGCCGCCAGGCGCAUCGCUGGGUAGCUACGUAUGGAUGUGAUAAACGCUGAAAGCAUCUAAGUGUGAAACACACCUCGAGAUGAGAUUUCCCAUUCCUUUAUGGAAGUAAGACCCCUGAAAGAUGAUCAGGUAGAUAGGUUAGAAGUGGCAGUGCGGUGACGCAUGAAGCGGACUAAUACUAAUCGGUCGAGGACUUAACCAA
rnacentral:rRNA from 1 species